rnacentral:rRNA from 1 species
ACUCCUACGGGAGGCAGCAGUGGGGAAUAUUGCACAAUGGGCGCAAGCCUGAUGCAGCCAUGCCGCGUGUAUGAAGAAGGCCUUCGGGUUGUAAAGUACUUUCAGCAGUGAGGAAGGUGGGUAUGUUAAUAGCAUACUCAUUUGACGUUAGCUACAGAAGAAGCAAGCCGGCUAACCGUCCGUAGCCCAGUGCCAGCCGCCGGCGUAAAUACGGAGGGUGCGAGCGUUAAUCGGAAUUACUGGGCGUAAAGCGCAUGCAGGUGGUUUGUUAAGUCAGAUGUGAAAGCCCGGGGCUCAACCUCGGAAUUGCAUUUGAAACUGGCAAACUAGAGUACUGUAGAGGGGGGUAGAAUUUGCAGGUGUAGCGGUGAAAUGCGUAGAGAUCUGAAGGAAUACCGGUGGCGAAGGCGGCCCCCUGGCACAGAUACUGACACUCAGAUGCGAAAGCGUGGGGA